GUGAUGUCAUUUUAUACAGGAGUGUCCUUGAUGGCUCUGUUUAAGAACACUAACUUCAAAACAGUAAAUCUUAGCACUUGAGAUAGAAUGCUACAAAGUUACUGACUAUGACAAGAACAUGCUUGCAGAAGUAUUUUGGUUUCAAGGUCUCCACGUUAAAAACCUUGGAAUAAUUAAAAUGAAUUAGUAUGCAGUGUUUGACAUUUGCAAUAGAACAAAAACAAAAUGACAAUGGAUGUUUAUGGAGGAUAAAAGGUAAAACAGGAGAUGUGACACUCAUCUUUCUCCCUGACUAUGGCAUCCUCCCUUCUUCAUGUAUAGAAGUCACUGCCAUUUGCCAUUACGUCCCUGGAAGGCUACAAAUGAAACAUUGCUCUUUACGGCUGGUAAACAACACAGUUGACUCAAAAACAAGGUUGAAACAAACUACAUAUCCUGCAACUGGAAAAUUUCAUGAAAAUUUUGUAUUUCCUUUUAAAUUUUUAACUAAGAUUUAAACCAGGAUAAUAGAUUACUCUUUAGUUCUCAUUGCUGCUCCAAAUAUUAUUUGUUUA
rnacentral:lncRNA from 1 species